rnacentral:rRNA from 1 species
GGACUACUGGGGUUUCUAAUCCUGUUCGCUCCCCAUGCUUUCGCUCCUCAGCGUCAGUUAAUGCCCAGAGACCUGCCUUCGCCAUCGGUGUUCCUCCUGAUAUCUGCGCAUUUCACCGCUACACCAGGAAUUCCAGUCUCCCCUACAUCACUCUAGUCUGCCCGUACCCACCGCAGAUCCGAGGUUGAGCCUCGGACUUUCACGGCAGACGCGACAAACCGCCUACGAGCUCUUUACGCCCAAUAAUUCCGGAUAACGCUUGCGCCCUACGUAUUACCGCGGCUGCUGGCAC